rnacentral:RNase_P_RNA from 1 species
GAAGCAGGCCAGACAGUCGCUGGCCGGCGCAGCAAUGCGUCGGCGGGAGGAAGGUCCGGACUCCAUAGAGCGGGGUGACGGUUAACGGCCGUCCGCUGAAAGCCGCAAGGUAUAAGGCGAGGAAUAGGGCCACAGAGACGAGCGUAUUAAGUUACGGUGAAACGCGGUAACCUCCACCUGGUGCAAUUUCAAAUAGGCACGCGAUGAUGCUGCUCGCGGAGCGUGCGGGUAGAAAGCUUGAGCGCCGGAGUAAUCCGGCGCCUAGAGGAAUGGCUGUCAUAGCGCGAACCCGCAAGGGCCAGCGCCGUAACAAAAUCCGGCCUAUCGGCCUGCUUCACUU